rnacentral:lncRNA from 1 species
UAAUGAAUGAUUAGGCCCAACUUUGAUUGGCUAACCUAACCACCAUUUAGAAAGAUGCAGUCAAGAAAUCAUAUUAUGAAUGAUAAUUCCAUCAGUCGAUAAGCACCAGGCCUUUGGGCCUCCAAUGAUUAUCCAACUGAUGCACCCAUUAUCAUCCACUUAAUGGGAGGUUAUGAUCUAGUUAUCACCAUAACUAUUUCAUUUUAAGAAUCUAAUAAUUUUAGAGAAUUUAAUUGAUUUAAAAGAGGAGGUCAGAUGAACCAGCUUAUCAUGAUCCUCCCACUGGCUUCACUAAGUUAGCUUAAGGGAGACCAUUAAAAGGGCU